UCCAACUUUAACUCACGCACCCAGCCUCUUCUCUCAGCUCGCAGUCACGUACUCCAUACUCACCUACUCCAUAAGCCUCCUUCUUCUCUUGUACAAGUAAGCCCCUCCAGCCACCAUCACCGCCCACCAUCACCACUGGCUCCUCUCCUCCAAAGUCCGGCCGUUCUUCUCCUCCAAAAUUGACAGUGCUGGCCUCCGGACUCCGGCCUUUCUUCUUCACCGGCCUAGCUGCGUCCUCCUCUGCGUCAUCUUCACCGGCGAAGAGGGAUUAGAUGGUAUUAACAUCUUCUAAGUCGUACGAGAUGGUAUUAACCAGAAAGAGUCAAAUGUGAAAAGAUUGAUGGAUGAGUUGCAGGGAGAUCUUUCCGAGGUGUUUAUGAAUACAAAUUACUAGCUUUCGUCCCUUAGUGCAUCAAAAUGAAGAUCAGUGACAGUUUGGCAUAAUUUAAGAUGUAUGAGAAUCAAAAUGAAGGUCAAGAUCAUGUGUUAAUGAGGGCUAGAUAUCAAGAUCAUGUAAAUGAGUUUGUUGAAACUUGCUCGUGAUCGAUCAAUAAUAGCUUGGCACCUGGUUAUAUCACGCGCAUUUAAACAGGUCCAACUAUUUGUCAUGAAGAAGAGCUGGAUAAAAGUUACUGAAGUUACAGCAAUCACUCGUCAAACUGGAAUUAAACGUUUGGUUGUAGCUCACAAGAAGUAAAUCAUUUGCUGCAUUCAUGCUGCUGAAGUGCUGAAGUACUGCUUUCUUUGGGAGUUGACGAACUGCUAAAUAGAGUUUAACAACAUACAGAGGAUAUCGUUUGAAGAAGGGAAUGCUGUUGAGACUCUUGAAGAAGCGAAAUCUGCUCUCCAACAAUUAACAAAUAAUGGUCAGAUUUAAAAAUUUCAGAAAUGAACAGAGUGAAAACGUUAUGAUCUAUUAACUAUGGUGACUAUGGUUGCGUCAUUGACGGAGGUUUUCAAAACUCCAAGGGAGGGGCCCUUUACCAAAAAGGAGUUGGAUGAAGUUCGAGACAAGUGGGCUACUUACUUCAACGAUUGUGAACUACUCUCAGUGUAAUAAAUAGAGAAGGCUUGUAGUUAUUCGUGACUCUUACAUUAUUUUGUUAUUUAUCGAUUUAAUUAAUUACAUUUGAAUUAAUUCGGUAAUAUUAUUGGAAAUUUGAAAUUUAUAUCAUUUUUGAGAAUGUCAA